UCUCCCCUCUCUGCCGCCGCCACUCCCUCCUCUUUCCCUACCCUUUUCUAUGUUCUCUGUAGGCAAACGAAGGAACAGCACCACCACCUCCCCGUCAUGGCGCUGCUGCUAUAGACAACCCCUCGCCGAGCCGAAGACACCGACGGAUGCGCCUCGUCGUCCUCUACGUUCGGGUGCAAGGAAUCGAGUUGGGACAACUCCAAUCAACGGCGAAUUCGCCGAUUCCAUCUCCGACCUGCCGGCGAACUUCUUCGAUUCCGGCCGCCUCCGUCCUCGUCCGACGGCCUCGACCACAAAUUCACACUCCUGAUGCUCGUCGCCGGUGAAGCUCCGGUGACCCCAUGUUGCCGGCUCCGCCACAUCCUGGUUCCCCACAGCGAGGCGCGCCCCCGACGCCAUCUCCCGUGUCCCGGUUCAUCCUGACCUGCUGAAUCGAACCCUGGCCAGAGCUCUGUUCCGCCAUGGCCUUCAUCCUGGAGCUCCGCGUUUGUCUGGUUCAUGUUGCCGCGCGCCCAUCUCUUGACACCAUCAGAUCUGCACCUGAUGGGCUUCAGCCCAGAUCGUCCCUCCCUUGGAGAAGCCCACCGUGCGCGCAGCAGUCAGUGAGCCCAGCGUUGCAGGUAGCAGCCCAACACACCAGAUCCUCCCCUCUCUUUUUUUUGUCCC